GCCAACAUCUUCCAUGGAGAUCACCAUGGCCUGGGCUCUGGUUUUCCUUGCACUUCUCAGUUACUGCUCGGGUGUCAAUUCUCAGAGUCUGACUCAGCCUGCCUCUGUGUCUGGGUCUCUGGGCCAAACAGUGACGCUCUCCUGCAGAAAAAGCAGCGGUGGGACCUGGGAACCUUACUAUCGCUGGGUCCGACAAAUACCUGGACAGGUCCCUCACUUUGUGCACUGUAAUGGCUGCAGCAGCCGGGGAGAAGGGAUCCCGGAUCGCAUCACUGCAUCGGCCUCGGGCAACACUGGCUAUAUAACCAUCACAAACGUCCAGGCCGAAGACGAGGCUGUCUAUUAUUGUUGCAAUUGGUAUAGCAGCAGCAUGUGCCACAGUGGGACAGCCUGA